ACAGAUGGAGUUCAGUUGAUAGAAUACUUGCCUACCAAGCAUGAAUUCCAGGGUUCUAAUCCCAGUAUAUGUG
rnacentral:tRNA from 1 species